rnacentral:rRNA from 1 species
GGUCAGGCGGGACCACCCGCUGAGUUUAAGCAUAUCAAUAAGCGGAGGAAAAGAAACUUACGAGGAUUCCCCUAGUAACGGCGAGCGAACCGG